UACGGAGGGUGCAAGCGUUAUCCGGAUUCACUGGGUUUAAAGGGUGCGUAGGCGGUCAGUUAAGUCCGUGGUGAAAUCUCUGAGCUUAACUCAGAAACUGCCAUGGAUACUAUUUGUCUUGAAUAUUGUGGAGGUAAGCGGAAUAUGUCAUGUAGCGGUGAAAUGCUUAGAUAUGACAUAGAACACCAAUUGCGAAGGCAGCUUACUACACAGUUAUUGACGCUGAGGCACGAAAGCGUGGGGAUCAAACAGG
rnacentral:rRNA from 1 species